AGCAGACUGUUGGCUGGGACAAGGCAUUUUGCAAAUGAAUCUUUGUUUACGAGAAGUUAUGAAGUUAGCAACCUUGGUCGCUGGCCCCGGCGGGUGAGCCCUCUGCAAAUCAGCGGUUGCUGGCUCCAGAAGUUCUUUUGGUGUGGCCUCCUCCCUCUAGAAGUUCUUUUGGUUAAUGUAAUAUCUGAAUCAGUGAUCUUUGGCAACUUUGCUAGUUUCUACUUUCUAGUGCCCCCAUUUGCAACAGCCUGUGGAAUUGGUACACAUGUCAAUUGCUAUAAUAGGUGGAAAGAGCAUGUUUUAUAGACUUUUUUCCAAGCAUUAUCUGACAAUAACAGACACUGUAGCAGCAUUUGAAAUUCUGAAUUAUACAUAAUUUAGCCAUAUCGGUCUUUUGAAUACUCAAUCAUUAGGCCAAUGUCAUACGCAGUCCACUCCCUGGUCAUACCAGAUCAAGAAAAUUACAAAAUUGACGAAGGUAUAAACUAACAGCCGAAAUACUUGAAGGUAAUGCCUAAAUCUAUCAAGAUUAGGACGAAAAGGGAAGCUCAAAACGCCGGCAUCUGCAGUAAUAUAAGGACCCAAAAGCUUUCGGGAGAGUUCAAGGGCGUCUUAUUAUGGCGUGGCGAGUGGCUGGAGCCUGUCGUAAGCCGGCCCGGUAGAUUUGCGGAUGUGUUCUGUUUCAACAAUAAACUGCAAUUUUUACUACUAAGCUAUAAACAGAUUCAGAACCAACAUGGUGUACCUUGUGGAGACGUACAGAAAGGAGUCUGAAGUGACCGAUGUGCUCGGAUGGAAGGGAAAAAGGCAGCGCAGACCAAGACGAACUGCCCGCGCGAUCGUGAGGCGGCGCUGCAGUUCC
rnacentral:lncRNA from 1 species